rnacentral:rRNA from 1 species
CCUACGGGUGGCAGCAGUGAGGAAUAUUGGUCAAUGGACGAGAGUCUGAACCAGCCAAGUAGCGUGAAGGAUGACUGCCCUAUGGGUUGUAAACUUCUUUUAUAUGGGAAUAAAAUGUUCCACGUGUGGGAGUUUGUAUGUACCAUAUGAAUAAGGAUCGGCUAACUCCGUGCCAGCAGCCGCGGUAAUACGGAGGACCCGAGCGUUAUCCGGAUUUAUUGGGUUUAAAGGGAGCGUAGGCGGAGUGUUAAGUCAGUUGUGAAAGUUUGCGGCUCAACCGUAAAAGUGCAGUUGAAACUGGAAGUCUUGAGUACAGAAGAGGUGGGCGGAAUUCGUGGUGUAGCGGUGAAAUGCAUAGAUAUCACGAGGAACCCCGAUUGCGAAGGCAGUUCGCUGGGGUGCAACUGACACUGAGGCUCGAAGGUGUGGGUAUCAAACAGGAUUAGAUACCCGGGUAGUC